UACGAAGGGGGCUAGCGUUGCUCGGAAUCACUGGGCGUAAAGGGUGCGUAGGCGGGUUCUUUAAGUCAGGGGUGAAAUCCUGGAGCUCAACUCCAGAACUGCCUUUGAUACUGAGGAUCUUGAGUUCGGGAGAGGUGAGUGGAACUGCGAGUGUAGAGGUGAAAUUCGUAGAUAUUCGCAAGAACACCAGUGGCGAAGGCGGCUCACUGGCCCGAUACUGACGCUGAGGCACGAAAGCGUGGGGAGCAAACAGG
rnacentral:rRNA from 1 species